CGGCCGGGCGUGGCCUAGCUGAGCCGGAAGUCCGGAUGCUUCGCCAGAGCCUGUGUAGGUUCUCAGGGUCUAACUUCAAGGUUCACUUAAGGGGGACCCAUGGGUGUCCUCACAAUGCGGUGCCGCGCAGCGCCAGGCCAUCUCCGGGGAUCACGUCUUAACUGGAAUGGGACUUUUGACGGGCAGAAUUGGAAGUGCAGUCCAAGAAAGGCGUGCGGACAUAGAGAGCAAGUUGUGGUGUCUGGUCGUUCAAACGCCUCUGGAAAGGUUCUCCAAGAAGCCUCUCUUCACCUCCUCCUUCCCUAUGAGUUCUCAUACCACACCGGAGAUCUGGCAUGGAGGAGUGGCAAAUAUUUGCAAUAGGCAAAAGAGAUGACUCAGUCAAGUGCUGCACAUCAAGGACCUGAGUUCAAAUCGCCAGAACACAGUAAAA